GACGAACGCUGGCGGCACGCUUAACACAUGCAAGUCGAACGAGGUCCAUCCACUCGCAAGAGUGGUGAAGACCUAGUGGCGAACGGGUGAGUAACACGUGAGAAACCUGCCCCGAAGACCGGGAUAACUCACCGAAAGGUGAGCUAAUGCCGGAUGCCUUCACGACGUCUCAUGGCGAUGUGAAGAAAUGGAUUCCGCUUCGGGAGGGUCUCGCGGCCUAUCAGCUUGUUGGUGAGGUAACGGCUCACCAAGGCGACGACGGGUAGCUGUUCUGAGAGGAAGAUCAGCCACACUGGGACUGAGACACGGCCCAGACUCCUACGGGAGGCAGCAGUGGGGAAUCUUGCGCAAUGGGCGAAAGCCUGACGCAGCGAUGCCGCGUGCGGGAAGACGGCCUUCGGGUUGUAAACCGCUUUCAGCAGGGACGAAAUUGACGGUACCUGCAGAAGAAGCUCCGGCCAACUACGUGCCAGCAGCCGCGGUAAGACGUAGGGGGCGAGCGUUGUCCGGAAUUAUUGGGCGUAAAGGGCCCCUAGGCGGUUCAGUAAGUCGACUGUGAAAAUCCAAGGCUCAACCUUGGGACGCCAGUCGAUACUGCUGUGACUCGAGUUCGGUAGAGGAGUGUGGAAUUCCUGGUGUAGCGGUGAAAUGCGCAGAUAUCAGGAGGAACACCAACGGCGAAGGCAGCACUCUGGGCCGAUACUGACGCUGAAGAGCGAAAGCGUGGGGAGCAAACAGGAUUAGA
rnacentral:rRNA from 1 species